rnacentral:rRNA from 1 species
ACGAACGCUGGCGGCGUGCCUAACACAUGCAAGUCGAGCGGAGACAUACGACGGCGGGGAAGUUUCGGACGGACCCAAAGAUGUAUGUUUAGCGGCGGACGGGUGAGUAACGCGUGAGCAACCUGUCCUUCACAGGGGGAUAACACAGCGAAAGUUGUACUAAUACCGCAUAAGACCACAGUGAGACAUCUUACAGGGGUCAAAGGAGCAAUCCGGUGAAAGGGUGGGCUCGCGUCCGAUUAGAUAGUUGGUGAGGUAACGGCCCACCAAGUCAACGAUCGGUGGCCGACCUGAGAGGGUGAUCGGCCACAUUGGGACUGAGACACGGCCCAAACUCCUACGGGAGGCAGCAGUGGGGAAUAUUGGGGCCAAUGGGGGGAACCCUGACCCAGCAACGCCGCGUGAGGGAAGAAGGUUUUCGGAUCGUAAACCUCUGUCCUUGGUGAAGAGUUAGAGACGGUAGCCAAGGAGGAAGCCCCGGCUAACUACGUGCCAGCCGCCGC